CUACGGAGGGUGCGAGCGUUAUCCGGAUUUAUUAGGUUUAAAGGGUGUGUUGGCGGGAGCCUAAGUCAGUUGUGAAAUCUCUCAGCUUAACUGUGAAACUGCCAUUGAAACUGGGUUUCUUGAGUAUAGUUGAGGUAGGCGGAAUGUGUAAUGAAGCGGUGAAAUGCAUAGAUAUUACACAGAACACCGAUUGCGAAGGCAGCUUACUAAGCUAUUACUGACGCUGAUGCACGAAAGCGUAGGUAGCGAACAGGAUUAGAAACCCUAGUAGUCC
rnacentral:rRNA from 1 species